rnacentral:lncRNA from 1 species
GUACUUAUAACUUUUUAUUAUCAAUAAAGGAUUUUUUCAUUUCAUUCAUAUUUAUGUGUCUAUGAUUUAUCCUAGAAAUUAAUAAAAAUAAUUUUUAUAUAUUCUUAAAGUAUUAAAAAUUUGAGACAUACAUUAAUUAGUGAUUAAUUUUUAAAUAUUUUCGAUCAAAGGAUCAUCACGAAAGACAGUGAUCAAUCCAUUA